rnacentral:lncRNA from 1 species
GACAAUUCCAUAAAGGAAAUCAGAGAGAAACUGCAGAUGGCACGCUUAGAAAUGAAGUCAGGGAAGAUGCCUCUGAGGCGGCCAUGGGAGAGCGGUUAUCCAACGGCUGAGAAGAAGCUGCUGUGAGAAGGACUGGAGAGGAGCACCUCAGGACUAAGGAGUAAGUGCCAAGGCCUGGAGGUGGCAAAGGCCCAAAGGGAUUUUCAUUUCCAAGAAAUCAAAACCCAGAGAGAGCCUUUGAUGGGUUUUAAAUUUGGAAGUGACAUGAUCUGAUUUUUUGUUUUUUCUCUUGCUAUGGAAAGGAAAUCUAUUGGAAUUUGGCAAGACUGGCAGAAGAAGACCAGUGAGGGUUCCAUUCCUGCCAUCCAGGUGAAAAAUGACGUCAUUGGACUGGGAGAUAAGGACCCUGGAGACCAGAGAAGAACCUGCAAAGGCCGUGUUCACACACUCACAAAAGAUGGCUGUGACUUGGAUCCAGACGUGGUGUACUCACAACAGAACUCCUGUGAUUCCAUCCUUUGGGAGGCAGAAAUGAAGUAAAGAUGAAGUUCAGCUUAAAGAAGACAGGAAUACAAACCAUUCCACGUGGAUAAACAGAAAAUGGUGUAUCCACACAAUAGAAUUUGACUCAGCAAUACAAAGGAACCAAACUGUGAAAAGCAACGUCCAACAGGAAGGAAUCUCAAAAUGAUGGCGAGUGAAAAAGACCAGACUGAAAAAAAGAGACUGGAAAAUGUUAACUACCCAAUAGUGAAGAAAAGCAGGUGAUGGCCUAGGGAGGGUGGGAUGGGCACCCCGAAAAGAGGUAGGAAGGUCGGGAUGAUAAACAGGCUGGACACUUUGGAGGGUGAUGAAUAUAUUCACGACCUUGAUGAUGGAGAUACUUUCAGGCGUGUCGAAAUGCAUCAUAUUGGAUGCUUUAAACAUCCACAGUUUGUCGUAUGCUAAUUACAGUUCAAUGAAGCCAUAGAAAACACAUUUAAGUUUAAAUAUAUUUAGUAAAAUUCACAAAUCCUAUGAAGUAGACCAGUAUUAUUAUUCUACUAAUAACAGAUUGAAAAUUGUGUUCGGUAUACCUAUAAAACAGGUAAUUUUGAAAAAUAGACCCUUCAGCAUACCUAAUGUACACUCAAUAUGUCUUACCAAUUUCCGAAUAGAAAUUAGCCAUUAAAUAAUAACUUAGGUUCUAUUAAAACUUAAUUCAAUAGAAAAAAUCUAUUACCAAAUUCUAGCUUAUUAAAAACCAAUUUGGCCAUAAGAGGUCAUGACUUCUAAAAACUAAUAAUACUUAAAUAUAUUACUUAAAAUUACUUAAGUAUUAAAUGAUACUUAAAUAUAUUUAUAAUAGUAAUAGUAGUAGUAGAAGUAAUGCUAUUUCCUUAAUAAACUUCCCAUUAAAAAAAAUUUUUUUAAACUCUGAAAUUUUCCUUCUGAAAUAAAUAAGAAGACAGGAUCAUUCUCAUUUACCAGACAUUAAUUUUUAAGUUGUCCAAAAAAUGCCUUUUCUACAACUAUUUUUUUAUAACUGCUUCGAUGACAAGAUCAAAAUCAGUUUGGGAGUUUGCUGCUCAGUGCCAUAAGUUGGUUUAAACUUCAAUCAAAUGCCCUGAUUUGUCACAGGAGCUCACCAAUAAGCAAAACAGCCAAGGUCUUUUAACGACUAAUUAGAAAAACUACAAUAAAAUUAAUUCAUACAGCACAGGUGUUUUUUAGACUUGGACGAAAUAAACUGUCUGUGAGCAAAGAAUUGUAAUCACAUUUGGAGGCGCUCCUAUAGAACCUUUCCUGGGGUUUUUCAGGGUUGCUAACACAUGCUGUUCUGAAAUUAUCUGUGGUUUGGUAAAUCCAUGAAACUCACCUGAUUAAGCAAUGCAAAACUGAAUCUACAGCAAAGGUGGGUCUCACGCCCUCUGCAUCUUUAUUGUAAUUUCAAGAGAACUGAAGUGUUUCGAUCCCCUAACUCUGUUCCUAGGGAGAACAAAGUCAUACAAGCAAAAGAUAAACUCAGGGAUACAGCUGGGCCUCCAAGAUAAGGAGGAGCGGAGUGUGGGGCGGCAGGAGUGAAGACCAAGUUCUCUGGUUCAGGAAGAUUGAGUCUUGUCCCUCCAUUGCCCCGAGGGGUGGUUUGGAGAGGAGAAGAAAAGGCCUAGAGGAGAUGGCUUCCACCUGCCUGGAACGCAGCCCAGAAAGAGAAGGAGUACACAGAUUCAGUUUCAGCAAGGGACAGAGAUCAGGGAGGAAUUUGUGAGAAAGGUCAUAGUGAAGUAAUAACGUAGGUGCCUUUGCCCUUUCUCCCUCAUUCCAAACUAUGUGGGGGUAGAUGACUGCAUAAAAGCUUAGGAUCUCAAGACUGGGGUCUUGGCUUGUAACAACUGAUAAUCAAGUGGGAAGGAAUGUA